CCAAAGGCUCUUUUCAGAGCCACGCAUGCAUUCAAAACGAGAGCUG
rfam:Monodelphis domestica chromosome 2, whole genome shotgun sequence.